rnacentral:rRNA from 1 species
CCUACGGGAGGCAGCAGUGGGGAAUUUUGGACAAUGGACGCAAGUCUGAUCCAGCCAUGCCGCGUGUGGGAAGAAGGCCUUCGGGUUGUAAACCACUUUUGUCAGGGAAGAAACGGCUCGGGUUAAUACCUUGGGCUAAUGACGGUACCUGAAGAAUAAGCACCGGCUAACUACGUGCCAGCAGCCGCGGUAAUACGUAGGGUGCAAGCGUUAAUCGGAAUUACUGGGCGUAAAGCGUGCGCAGGCGGUUAUGCAAGACAGAUGUGAAAUCCCCGGGCUCAACCUGGGAACUGCAUUUGUGACUGCAUGGCUAGAGUACGGUAGAGGGGGGAUGGGAAUUCCGCGUGUAGCAGUGAAAUGCGUAGAUAUGCGGAGGAACACCGAUGGCGAAGGCAAUCCCCUGGACCCGUACUGACGCUCAUGCACGAAAGCGUGGGGAGCAAACAGGAUUAGAUACCCUGGUAGUCCACGCCCUAAACGAUGUCAACUGGUUGUUGGGAGGGUUUCUUCUCAGUAACGUAGCUAACGCGUGAAGUUGACCGCCUGGGGAGUACGGCCGCAAGGUUGAAACGUCAAAGGAAUUGACGG